UUCGCAAUGCCCGAAAGGGUGACGAAGCGACGCCGCGUGGGUGAGGAAGGCCCUCGGGUUGUAAAGCCCUGUCAGGAGUUAAGAAAUGUAGACUCGCUAAUAUCGGGUCUAUUUGACAAAGGCUCCAAAGGAAGCCACGGCUAACUCUGUGCCAGCAGCCGCGGUAAUACAGAGGUGGCAAGCGUUGUUCGGAAUUAUUGGGCGUAAAGAGCACGUAGGUGGAUUUGUAAGUCAGAUGUGAAAGCCUUCUGUUCAACGGGAGAAUUGCAUCUGAAACUACAGACCUUGAGUAUAGGAGGGGAGAAUGGAACUUCUGGUGGAGCGGUGAAAUGCGUAGAUAUCAGAAGGAACGCCGGCGGCGAAAGCGAUUCUCUGGCCUAUUACUGACACUCAGUGUGCGAAAGCUAGGGGAGCAAACGGGAUUAGAUACCCCGGUAGUCCUAGCCGUAAACGAUGGGCACUAAGUAGAGGGGUUUU
rnacentral:rRNA from 2 species